rnacentral:rRNA from 1 species
GAUGAACGCUGGCGGCGUGCCUAAUACAUGCAAGUCGAGCGAACAGACGAGGAGCUUGCUCCUCUGACGUUAGCGGCGGACGGGUGAGUAACACGUGGAUAACCUACCUAUAAGACUGGGAUCACUUCGGGAAACCGGAGCUAAUACCGGAUAAUAUCUUGAACCGCAUGGUUCAAUAGUGAAAGACGGUUUUGCUGUCACUUCUAGAUGGAUCCGCGCCGCAUUAGCUAGUUGGUAAGGUAACGGCUUACCAAGGCAACGAUGCGUAGCCGACCUGAGAGGGUGAUCGGCCACACUGGAACUGAGACACGGUCCAGACUCCUACGGGAGGCAGCAGUAGGGAAUCUUCCGCAAUGGGCGAAAGCCUGACGGAGCAACGCCGCGUGAGUGAUGAAGGUCUUCGGAUCGUAAAACUCUGUUAUUAGGGAAGAACAAAUGUGUAAGUAACUAUGCACGUCUUGACGGUACCUAAUCAGAAAGCCACGGCUAACUACGUG